AGCGAACGCUGGCGGCAUGCCUAACACAUGCAAGUCGAACGAACCCUUCGGGGCUAGUGGCGCACGGGUGCGUAACGCGUGGGAACCUGCCCUUAGGUUCGGAAUAACUCCCCGAAACUUGUGCUAAUACCGGAUAUUCUCUUCGGACCAAAGAUUUAUCGCCUUUGGAUGGGCCCGCGUUGGAUUAGCUAGUUGGUAGGGUAAAUGCCUACCAAGGCGACGAUCCAUAGCUGGUCUGAGAGGAUGAUCAGCCACACUGGGACUGAGACACGGCCCAGACUCCUACGGGAGGAAGCAGUGGGGAAUAUUGGACAAUGGGCGAAAGCCUGAUCCAGCAAUGCCGCGUGAGUGAUGAAGGUCUUAGGGUUGUAAAGCUCUUUUACCCGGGAUGAUAAUGACAGUACCGGGAGAAGAAGCUCCGGCUAACUCCGUG
rnacentral:rRNA from 1 species